rnacentral:rRNA from 1 species
CCUACGGGAGGCAGCAGCAGGGAAUUUUGGGCAAUGGGCGAAAGCCUGACCCAGCGACGUCGCGUGGGGGAUGAAGGCCCUAGGGCUGUAAACCCCUUUUCCCGGGGAAGAGAAAGGACGGUACCCGGGGAAUAAGCUCCGGCUAACUACGUGCCAGCAGCCGCGGUAAUACGUAGGGAGCAAACGUUACCCGGAAUUACUGGGCGUAAAGAGCGCGUAGGCGGCUUGGUAAGUCUCUUGUGAAAGCUCCCGGCUCAACUGGGAGAGGUCAAGGGAAACUACCUCGCUUGAGGGCGGUAGAGGAAAGCGGAAUUCCCGGUGUAGCGGUGAGAUGCGUAGAUAUCGGGAGGAACACCAGUGGCGAAGGCGGCUUUCUGGGCCGUGCCUGACGCUGAGGCGCGAGAGCGUGGGGAGCAAACUGGAUUAGAUACCCAGGUAGUCCACGCCCCAAACGAUGAAUGCUAGGUACAGGGGGUAUCGACCCCCCCUGUGCCGAAGCUAACGCGAUAAGCAUUCCGCCUGGGGAGUACGGCCGCAAGGCUAAAACUCAAAGGAAUUGACGG